rnacentral:lncRNA from 1 species
AUGUGUGUUAUAGAUGGAUCUGAGAACGCUGUCUGGGCUUGGUGCCAAGGGCUGGUAUUUCACAGCAGCGACCGCCUCACAGACGAGCUGUGGGAAGCAGGAGGGAGACUCUCUCUUAGGGUGCCACUACUAUGGAGACACAGCUGGGCUGAACAAGAUUUGCUUCAAACGACAACAAGAGAGACAGAAAGUAUCUGGUUCAACCGCUGCCCGAGCAGGCAGGCACCAGAAGAGCUAGCAGCCAAUCCGGCCAUGCUCGAAGCCAGCUCUGCAGCUCAGCCAAUCAGUGACAUCACUGCUUUCUUUAGCUUGCCCAUGGUGAUGUGAAGAUGAGAAGAAAUAGCAAGGCCCAACCAGUUCUUCAUCUGAAGACAGUUCAAUGUUCUACAAACCAGGUAAAAAUAAUACAGACGAUUUUAGGAAUGCACAGUCCCUUUAUAAAAGAAACUAUUUCCUUUCUCAAGUUUGAUCUACAGAUUUUUGCAAGAAGCUAUAUUUAUCAUCUAAUGUGUAACUUGUUAAUAAAUAUGACAUUAUAUCAAUUUCAAUUAUCUGUGAAGAGCAGAGCGACUAAAGCAUGCAUUUGUGUAUUGACUCAUGAAUAAAGUUAUAGUUGUAGUAUAACCUUCUUUUAUGGAAAUAUUUUAAAGAAAAAAAGAGGACAUGUGGCUACUUGAUUUGCUUGUUAUAAUUCUAAACAAAGGAAAGAGGAGUGGGCUAAAUAAAUUUAAUAUUUCUUUAAAAACAACUUUUACCAAAUGAAUAUAUUUGCAUAUAUUUAAAAUUCAAGUAAAUUUAAAGGCUAGUAACUAAAUAAAUAAACGUUUUAUUUAUUUAUUUCCUGCACAACUGCAGGAAAACAACCACUUUCAAACUCUUUAAUUUUUAUUUUACUUUUGUGGAUUUAAAUAACAUCUAUACAUCUAUCUCAUGAUUUUUAGAGUUAGUGCUCUAAUAAUUGAUUUCUUGUUGCUAUAGAUGUGGAUUUACACUUCCUUAAAACCCCCACAUUCUUGAUUCUCCCUGUAUAG